AGCUGCAGUACUUUUUGUGUGGUGUGGAAGUGUUUGUUUUUUGCAAUAGAUUUUUGUUGCAGUUUAGGUUUGUAUUUUCUUUGUUUUGUAGUGCUUAUUAUGAAGGUUCGUAGGUUUAUGUCUGUAGGCCAGGCAGGUCAUUAAACUUAACAAAGAAUAAGUAAGUCGGGAGAGGGGAAUAGAAAUCUCCACAUACAUAUUCUUAAAAGCUGUAACACUCACCACAAAGAUCUGCUGAGUGAAGUCUGUGAGACGAACGCACCAAGUCUGGACGCUCUGUCAGGCUACAUUUUACGUUUUUGGGAGUGAGCAGGUGUUAUUCUGUUCCCCGGGUUGGUUUUGAAGUCAUGGCUCUCAAGUAAUUUUUGUGCUUCUCAAAAGUGCUGGAAUUGCAAAGAGUUCAAACAUUGAAUUAGUUGUGCAAUGGAAGGAGUAUUACCAGGACCCAGAUGCAGCCCAAGGAAAAAAGAAAACAAAAGGAGACACACACAGACACCAGAGCAUGAUGCAAGUGUGGCUUAAUCGGUGCUUGCACAUUGGGCUUGUUCUUUCCAAACCUGUUGCCCCGAUUCUGCAAGGCUAUCCUGCUGUAGAAGGAGGCCCUGGAGGACAAGACACCAUGUGGGGAAAACAGCCAUGGGGAGCAGAACCGAGGUAUCCCAGCUUAGCUCCCAACUGACAGCAGCCACAUGAGUGAGCAGAAAAACAACUUCCAAGGGUGAUUUAGCUACUGCUGCUGUGGAAUGUCAAAACUUUCAGCAAGGGAGCCCGAUGCAGAUCUGUUGAUAUGACACCAUUCCACAAGAAGACCAACUGAUGGCUUUGUGGCAAGUUGACUACACUGGGCUGUUUCUAUUCUGGGAAGACAGAGAUUUGUUCUAAGAGGAAUAGGCAUGUGUUGCAGGCAUAGGUUGACCUUUCCUGCCAUGGAGCCUCCUCUGGUACCACUAUUUGAAGGUUGAAGGAAUGUUGAUUCACCAGGAUUGAGUCAGACCAGCCAAGCCUAUGACCAUGAUGUCAACUGACUGUAUCACCUGUCACAUCAUCCAGAAGCUACAGACUUAUAAGGCAUUGGAAUAACUUGUAGAUGGCCCCGUUAAAGUACCAGCUUAGAGGCAACACUCCAUGAGAAUGAGACAUCAUCUCCAGGAUGGCACAUACACAUUGAAUCACACAGCAUUGAUAAGGAGAUGGCUCCCCAGUAGGAAGAAUAUAUUGGUCAUGAACCAAGGGAUGAAGCAGAAGUGUCUUGCUUCCUGUCCCUGCAGCCUCUCUUUCUGCAGUGCUAGAAAUCCUGGUCAAAAGGGGGCAUAAUUUUAUCAGGGGACACAGCAAAAGUCUCCACUACAUUGCAGCUAUGCCUGCUGCCUGGGGAUUUUGGGCUUCUUAUAAUUGGGACCAGCAAUAAAAGAGAAGAGUCACAGUCUUGGCAGGGCUAAUUGACCCUGAUCAGCAGGAGAAGAAAGGCUGUGGUUCCACUAUGAGGGUAGGGAAGACGUGUGGCACCACUGAUCCACUUUUGCAACCCAUGGUACUCCCGUGGCCAGUUGUGAUGACAGACAAGUGCAGGAACACUUUUGGGAAGGGCAUGGUGGCCAGAGUUCAGACCCCAUGGGAAUGAGGACCAGGGUCACACCACUGGAUAAGCCAGGAGGAAGAGAGGCCCACUGGAAGGCUGGAGGAGCUGCUCCCCAGAUGUAGAUGAAGUAGAUUUGAGCAGCACAGUGGUGGACCUAGUAGAGGCGGACAUCAAGAUCCUCUUCAAGGAAAGAUUAUCAAUAUAGUUUUCCCUGACCCAGGUGCCAUGUGUUUUCUGUCAUAUUCACGUAUGCUAAUACAUAAUUGUGCAAGUGGGGUAAUAUCUGGGACACUUCAUGGUUCAUAUCAAAACACAGAGUGAAGAGAACAUCCUCUGGGCCAUCUCAGAGUGUGAGUUUGGGGCGGGGGUGGCUCCUGGUUAACAUUUCUGUCCACUGCAGCAUUCCUUUUCCCUUUUGCUUUUAGAUUCUUCCCUUGACAUCACACCAGGAAAGUCUGACAACUUAACUUUAUUGGAUAUAGGCAACCGUUGAAUCCAAGUUUUGCCCACUGAAUCCAUCAAAUUGUUACAGCCAAUUCUAGAUGCCUGAGUGGACACAUGAAAUCCAGAUUCCCCAGAACCCUACAGUCACCAAGCACUCAUAUCUGACAAAUCAGCAUUUAUCUUUUUACCUUCCUGGCAUCUGGCCCAUCCAGUCCUCACUCCUCCAACCCCCUCUGCUGCACUAGGCUCAGGUUAUAAGGUCCAGAUCCAGACAAAAGUGACUGCAUCUUGUAAAGGACCCCAGCACCCCUUGGGCUUUGCCUGAGUGUUGUAAUUGGCAUGACUGUGCUGGAGAGCACGCCUUGUCUUGGCCCUGGGGACCUGAGCACAAAUUCUCUUUUUAAGAUGUGUGUGUUAGGCUCUCCAAAAGAUAUCCACAUCUUAACCCUGGACCUGUGAGUGUUACCUUAUAUGGCAAAAAAAAAAAAAAAAAAAAGACUUUACAGAUGUAAAGUUAAGGAUCUUGGGAUGAGGCAAUUAUCCUGGAUUCUCUAGGGGUAUCCUAAAUGCAAUCACAAGUGUCUUUAUAAGACAGAGGCAGAGGGAGACUUCACACAGACAGAAGAGGAGGAAGCCGUGUGACCUUGGAGGCAGACAUUGGAGCCAUGCGGCUCCAAGCCACAGAAUUUUGACAGCCAGAAGAGGCAAGGAAUGGAUUCUCUCCUGGAGCCUCUGGAGGGACUGUGGCCUUGCUGACUCCUUGAUUUCAGACUUCUCAUCUCCUGCACCGUGAGAAAGUGCACAGUAACGUGCUACAGCAGCAACAGGAAACGGAUAUA
rnacentral:lncRNA from 10 species